rnacentral:rRNA from 1 species
GGGUUGUGAGGUUAAGCGACUAAGCGUACACGGUGGAUGCCCUGGCAGUCAGAGGCGAUGAAGGACGUGCUAAUCUGCGAUAAGCGUCGGUAAGGUGAUAUGAACCGUUAUAACCGGCGAUUUCCGAAUGGGGAAACCCAGUGUGAUUCGUCACACUAUCAUUAACUGAAUCCAUAGGUUAAUGAGGCGAACCGGGGGAACUGAAACAUCUAAGUACCCCGAGGAAAAGAAAUCAACCGAGAUUCCCCCAGUAGCGGCGAGCGAACG